rnacentral:rRNA from 1 species
UCGUCCUGUAGCAAUACGGGAAGAAGUCUAGUGGCGAACGGGUGCUUAACACGUGGGCAAUCUGUCUUAAAGUGGGGGAUAGCUCGGCGAAAGCCGAAUUAAUACCGCAUGUGAUUAGAGUGGACAUCCAUUCAAAAUUAAAGUCGGGGCAACCUGACGCUUUUUGAGGAGCCCGCGGCCUAUCAGCUAGUUGGUGAGGUAGCGGCUCACCAAGGCUUUGACGGGUAGCUGGUCUGAGAGGACGACCAGCCACACUGGGACUGAGACACGGCCCAGACACCUACGGGUGGCAGCAGUCGAGAAUUUUUCUCAAUGGGGGAAACCCUGAAGGAGCGACGCCGCGUGGAGGAUGAAGGUCUUCGGAUUGUAAACUCCUGUCAUUGGGGAACAAUGCGUGACGGUUAACUGCCGUCGCGUUGAUAGUACCCGAAGAGGAAGAGACGGCUAACUCUGUGCCAGCAGCCGCGGUAAUACAGAGGUCUCAAGCGUUGUUCGGAUUCAUUGGGCGUAAAGGGUGCGUAGGCGGCGCGGUAAGUCGGGUGUGAAAUCUCGGAGCUUAACUCCGAAACUGCAUUCGAUACUGCCGUGCUCGAGGACUGGAGAGGAGACUGGAAUUCACGGUGUAGCA